CCUACGGGAGGCAGCAGUGAGGAAUAUUGGUCAAUGGGCGCGAGCCUGAACCAGCCAAGUAGCGUGAAGGAUGACUGCCCUACGGGUUGUAAACUUCUUUUAUAAAGGAAUAAAGUGAGGCACGUGUGCCUUUUUGUAUGUACUUUAUGAAUAAGGAUGGGCUAACUCCGUGCCAGCAGCCGCGGUAAUACGGAGGAUCCGAGGGUUAUCCGGAUUUAUUGGGUGUAAAGGGAGCGUAGAUGGGUUGAUAAGUGAGUUGUGAAAGUUUGGGGCUCAACCGGAAAAUUGCAAUUGAGACUGGCAGCCUUGAGUGCAGUUGAGGUAGGCGGAAUUCGUGGUGUAGCGGUGAAAUGCUUAGAUAUCACGAAGAACUCCGAUUGCGAAGGCAGCCUACUAAACUGCCACUGACAUUGAGGCUCGAAAGUGUGGGUAUCAAACAGGAUUAGAUACCCGGGUAGUC
rnacentral:rRNA from 1 species